CUCUCUCUCUCUCUCUCUCUCUCUCUCUCUCUCUCUCUCUCUCUCUCUCUCUCUCUCUAAAAAGAUGACACCCAUCUAUAUAACAUCAGUAGCAGUUGCUCCCCUUAUCUAUUUGGUGGUAAGAGGUGAUAUUUAGCUUUAUUUUAGCUUUCCCCACCUGAAAACCCCAUUUUUCCCCUAGGUCCUCAAGAUUGGACUAGGUAAAAGGCAAAAGUAAUAGUAGCACUAAAUAGAGCUGCAUGGUCAGUUAUAUUAUAUACUAAAUGUUAGCAUAGAUAAAUAGGAAGCCACAUCACUGCUUCUCCUCUAGUGACAUCUUGAUCUUGAUCUUACUGCUUCCAUCCUAAAGUAAUUGAAAAUUAUACCUAACUCAGCCUAAUUGAUAAUUGACAAUUUAAUGUGAAAUGGGAUGGAUAUGUCGCUCUGAGGGUAGGAGGAAUAUGGGGUUGAAAAUACAUCAUCAUUGGUGUGAAAACAUUCUGAUUUAAUGAAGAUGGUUUUGCAUUCAAAUGACAAAGAAAACAAGGCAGUUAUUUAACAUUUUUAUUUGUAUAAAAUAUAUGAGUGCACUAUUCAAGGUGACACAACUUUAUGCUCUUAAUUCUGAAUAUACUAACUAUACAAUAAUGAUACCAUAUAAAUAUUUGCAUUCUGAAAUUGUAUAUGAGCAGAAAGGUUGUUCUGUGAAAUGAAUCUAAUGGAUAAUAAGACAUGUAUUCAUGAAAAAAAAGUCACCAAAUUUUGAGCACAAUGAACCUGUGACACCUUAUGAGGCACACUUGUUUAUUGAAUCUUUGUUCUCUAACAAAUUUAGUCUAAGUGAAACAUGUUAAGACCUUACAAAGUUUAUUUUCGUUUUCAUGACCAUUGUAAUAUUUUGUACACAAUCAUGUAUGUAAUUUUAUAAGAUAUUGAAUGAAUAUAUAUUACAGAUGAAUGCUGUGGAUGUGAUACUGUUACUGGCAGAUACUCUGCCCUUUGAGCUCAAUGGUACUAUUGCCAUGUCAGAGGCCCUCUGGUACAUGGGUUUAUACUGGUACAUUCAUACUACACUGAUGCUUCCAUGAGUAGUAUGUAUCUGAUCCAAUAUAAUAUUUAAUUAUAAUUAGAAGGGUUUUCUUUGAAUUAUUGUUUAUUUUUUUAAUUUUAAGUAAGGUAGCUCAGCAGUGUGUUGAAUAAAGCUUAAAAAGUUGCUACAAAGUUCAUCUGUCACAUAGAUAAUUGCAAAUUAUUAUGUAUGCUACAGGAUGUCAUGCAAUCUUCAUUUUGUACAUGUACACAAGCUGUAGUGACUGAUCAUUAUAGGCAUGUGUAGCACCAAACUUACAGGUAAUCAACAAUCACUUCAUUAUCUGAUUAAUUUAUAAGGAGGCAAUAUCUCAAAUGCCUCAUUUAAAAGCAGGGGCACAUAGACUGCUUAAUUGUACAGGUUCAAGGCACCUUACUGCAUUGUAACCUGGCUCAUAUACUACUAAACUUUCAAUAAAUUGGAGUUGAUCUGAAGCUGCAUCCUAACAAGUAAUGGUUUACUUUUGUUUAUCAGUGUAUUAUAUGAGGUGUCCGGAGUUAAGGGGCAAUAUUGCCAAAUCUGUCAUUCUUAGUGACGUGUACUAUGCAAUAGGCACAUCCACUUUCUGUGAUUUCCCUAAAAUAGUGCAAGGUAUACUGACCCUUUUUUUUUUUUUAAAAAGAGAAUCAAGGAUGUAUUACCAGUAAUUGCAAACAAAAAUUCCUUAUCAUCAUGUAGUGGCUGCCACAGGUAAAGAGGAUGUAAAUGUUCUUUGUAAUUGAAUUCUGUAAUGAUGCAUUGAUUAUAAUUAUUAUUCAUUGAACAAAUUCAUCAAUAAUCAAUGAAUGAUCAUUAAAUUUAAAUGGAGACAAAAAUUAUAAACCAUCAAAAUAAAUAAAAAUCAACCUUAUACCAACUCAUAUGCUGCAGUACAGAAAUAGAAAGUAUAUAUUGAUUAACAACGAGUAGCUUUAUUGGAAAAAUAUCAUCUGCCUCACUAAGAUCAGUCAUUGAUAAGUGGCAUUGCUCCAACUCUUCUGAAGAUGCAAGAAAACCUGACAUCAACAUCUAACUUUGUCUCAAGAGGUAAACAAGGGUAGUCUGCAGUGUGGUGAUUCAUUUUGAUGUUAUAGCACACAAGUUGUAUCCAAAAAAAGGUUGUACACUGCUCCUGCCACUCCAGCUAGCCCCACCACACCAUGCCUUAUUAGUCAUAUAGAAACCCCUAUUAACUGUUGUCAGGAGUUGUGUCACCCAUAUUAAAAGAAUUCCUUCCCAUUCUAAUAGCAACAGAUUCAAGGUUUUGAGUGAAGAAGGAAGUGGAUACUGGUUGGAAUAUUGAGAGGCCAACUAUCCAAGUUAUGCACUCAUACCUGUGAGUCAUGUAAAUGUUUGUGUAUGCCUGGUGGACACCUAGACAACAUCACAGCAACAUGCAACAAGGCAGCCAGCGGAACAGAAGAUAAUGACCUUUUUCGUCAUCUACACAGACCUACCUGGGCCACCACCACCACCACCACGAUGCACCGGCACCGCACCUUGAGCCGCACCAUGUUGCUGGCUGGCUCCUCCUGUAAAAUUACCCUGAUCAGUAAUUAAAAAAAUUCUAAGAUCAAGUGACCUUAUCUACUAUACAAUUUAUCAUGUUUCUGUAAACUCAAUAUGAAGAAAAGUUUUGA
rnacentral:lncRNA from 1 species